AAACUAACAAGGAUUCCCCUAGUAACUGCGAGUGAACCGGGAAAAGCUCAAAUUUAAAAUCUGGCAGCCUUGGCUGUCCGAGUUGUAAUCUGGAGAAGCGUCUUCCGCGCUGGACCGUGUACAAGUCUCCUGGAACGGAGCGUCAUAGAGGGUGAGAAUCCCGUCUUUGACACGGACUACCAGUGCUCUGUGAUGCGCUCUCAAAGAGUCGAGUUGUUUGGGAAUGCAGCUCAAAAUGGGUGGUAAACUCCAUCUAAAGCUAAAUAUUGGCGAGAGACCGAUAGCGAACAAGUACCGUGAGGGAAAGAUGAAAAGCACUUUGGAAAGAGAGUUAAACAGUACGUGAAAUUGCUGAAAGGGAAACGCUUGAAGUCAGUCGCGUUUGCUAGGACUCAGCCUUGCCUCGGCUUGGUGCAUUUCCUAGUAGACGGGCCAGCAUCACUUUUGACUGCGGGAGAAAGGUUGGAGGAAUGUGGCACCCUCGGGUGUGUUAUAGCCUCUAGCUGUAUGCCGUGGUUGGGAGUGAGGAACUCAGCACGCCGCAAGGCGGGGCUUCGGCCACCUUCGUGCUUAGGAUGCUGGCGUAAUGGCUUUAAACGACC
rnacentral:rRNA from 1 species